AGCACCUCGAGAGGGAGUUAGCAGUCAGGGGAGGAGGUGGCUCUUCCAGGUACAAGGUCAGCAACUUCCUUUGGGAACUCAGCCCCUCUGAGUGCUUCUGGGUGAUACAUGCUGAGUCACUCUUCAGGGUGCUGUGAGAGGAGGUCAGAACGCCCUGCAUGGAUGUACUGACCUAUGAUGAUGUGCAUGUGAACUUCACUCAGGAAGAUUGGCAUUGCUGAAUCCUUCUAAGAAGAGUCUCUACCAAUGUGUUAUGCUGGAGACCUGUAGGAAUCUCAGCGCUAUAGGAUGUACUGACCUAUGAUGAUGUGCAUGUGAACUUCACCCAGGAAGAGUGGGCAUUGCUGAAUCCUUCUCAAAAGAGUCUCUACCGGGGUUGGGGAUUUAGCUCAGUGGUAGAGCGCUUGCCUAGUGAGCGCAAGGCCCUGGGUUUGGUCCUCAGCUCUGAAGAAAAGAAAAGAAAAGAAAAGAAAAAAGAAGAGUCUCUACCGUGGCUUAAUGCUGGAGACCUGUAGGAAUCUCAGCGCUAUAGGCUACAUUUGGGAAGACAAUAGUACUGAAGAAUAUUGUAAAAGUUCUAGAAGACAUGGAAGGUAAUUUUCACGUGAAAGAUGAUAAGAUAAUACCUCCCAAGAAAGUUUCAUGUGUGCAGCAAGUUUUAAAGAAAAGAAACUGGGUAAAAUACACACUGCAUCAAAUAUUGAUUGGGUCAUCAUUAUAUGUCUACACCCUUUUAAUAAGCAAAUAGUCCAUAGUAAAUUGUGGUGAACCGUAUUCUGUAACAGCAUGGCUAAAUUUAAGGAUAUGGACAGUUUUAGAGAUUCAAGAAUGGUUUUGUGGAGAAACCUGAAACCCUGUACCACAUCUCUCUGAGGAAAACAAAUUGAAAUUUUGUAAAUGUAAUAUAGAAAUUUAUUUUGUUAUGUGUUGAAUGUAAUGCAUUAUUCUUCUUUUGCUAUGGAUGUCAUAUGUCCCUAUGAAUGCAAGCCAGGAGAGCAUAGUGAUACUGAAAGAAGCAACAUACCUCUCUCUUUUCCAGAACAGUUAGAAGAUGUACAAUAGAUACCAGUUUGAGGAGAGUUUCUUAAUAUGGGAAAAGUUGAUAAAUAUUUAGUUUUUGACCAUGACGGUCAACAUGUACACAUUCAAAGUGCUGAAUCACUUUAUGAGAUUAGGGUUAUAGAAAUAUUCCUCUUUGUAUUGGCUCAUGUUGCAAAUGUAGUAUUCCUCAAAGAUAUCAAAAUUUAUGUUCACAGCCAGACUACAAACGCUCUGAGUUCAUAGAGUUUUCUUCAAAUAUGUUAACAAUCUUAAUAGAAAAAUUAUGGAAUGAA